AGCAGCCGCGGUAAUUCCAGCUCCAAUAGCGUAUAUUAAAGUUGUUGCAGUUAAAAAGCUCGUAGUUGAAUUUCGGGAUCAAAGGAUCGGUCAUGCCUUGGUAUGUACUGGUUUUAUUGGUUCUCACCUUCUAAAGAACCAUAAUGUCAUUCAUUUGAUGUUAUGGGGAAUUAGGACUGUUACCUUGAAAAAAUUAGAGUGUUUAAAGCAGGCUUACGCUUGAAUACAUUAGCAUGGAAUAAUGAAAUAGGACGUUUGAUUCUAUUUUGUUGGUUUCUAGGAUCGACGUAAUGAUUAAUAGGGAUAGUUGGGGGCAUUAGUAUUCAAUUGUCAGAGGUGAAAUUCUUGGAUUUAUUGAAGCUAACUACUGCGAAAGCAUUUGCCAAGGAUGUUUUCAUUAAUCAAGAACGAAAGUUAGGGAUCGAAGACGAUCAGAUACCGUC
rnacentral:rRNA from 1 species